CCUGCGCCUUGAGGCGGUGCAGUCCGACUGUGCGGUUUGAGCCCGUGUCAUGAGGGGCGCAGAGUAACAGGGCUGUGUCUACGCAGAGGACUCAGAACAGUGGGUACCUGGAGUAAUUGAUAGAACCGACAUU
ensembl:snoRNA